rnacentral:rRNA from 1 species
AUUGAACGCUGGCGGCAGGCCUAACACAUGCCAGUCGAGCGGAUGAAGGGAGCUUGCUCCUGGAUUCAGCGGCGGACGGGUGAGUAAUGCCUAGGAAUCUGCCUGGUAGUGGGGGAUAACGUCCGGAAACGGGCGCUAAUACCGCAUACGUCCUGAGGGAGAAAGUGGGGGAUCUUCGGACCUCACGCUAUCAGAUGAGCCUAGGUCGGAUUAGCUAGUUGGUGGGGUAAAGGCCUACCAAGGCGACGAUCCGUAACUGGUCUGAGAGGAUAAUCAGUCACACUGGAACUGAGACACGGUCCAGACUCCUACGGGAGGCAGCAGUGGGGAAUAUUGGACAAUGGGCGAAAGCCUGAUCCAGCCAUGCCGCGUGUGUGAAGAAGGUCUUCGGAUUGUAAAGCACUUUAAGUUGGGAGGAAGGGCAGUAAGUUAAUACCUUGCUGUUUUGACGUUACCAACAGAAUAAGCACCGGCUAACUUCGUG